rnacentral:rRNA from 1 species
CAAUAGCGUAUAUUAAAGUUGUUGCGGUUAAAAAGCUCGUAGUUGGAUUUCUGCCGAGGACGACCGGUCCGCCCUCUGGGUGAGUAUCUGGCUCGGCCUGGGCAUCUUCUUGGAGAACGUAUCUGCACUUGACUGUGUGGUGCGGUAUCCAGGACUUUUACUUUGAGGAAAUUAGAGUGUUUCAAGCAGGCAUACGCCUUGAAUACAUUAGCAUGGAAUAAUAGUACAGGACUCUUGGUUCAAUGCUGUUGGUUUGUUGAGCUAGAGUAAUCAAAAUAAGGAUAGUUGGGGGUAUUCGUAUUUAACUGUCAGAGGUGAAAUUCUUGGAUUUUUUAAAGACGAACAAUUGCGAAGGCAUCUACCCAGGAUGUUUUGUUGAUCAAGAACGAAAGUUAGGGGAUCGAAGACGAUCAGAUACCGU